rnacentral:RNase_P_RNA from 1 species
CGUGCAGGCCGGGUGACCGCGGGCCGCAUCGGGGCCCGAGGAAAGUCCGGACACCGCAGGGCAAGGGCGCUGGGGAAAUCCCAGGCGGCGAAAGCCGACGGAAAGUGGCACAGAAAAGACACCGCCAUGCGAGGCAUCACGCGAUGAGUCGUGCGGUAAGGGUGAAAAGGUGGGGUAAGAGCCCACCAGCGUCGUGGUGACACGGCGGCUCGCCAAACCCCGCCUGGUGCAAGGCGAAACAGGCUCCGCCAGCAGGCGGCCCGCCGAGGAGCCGGGUGCGCUGCUCGAGUCGCCGGGGAACCGGCGACCCAGAUAGAUGGUCACCCUCGACAGAAUCCGGCUUACAGGCCUGCUUCCGGA